rnacentral:pre_miRNA from 1 species
CUACUACUCCCUCCGUCCAAAAAUACUUGUCAUUGAAAUAGAUGUAUCUAGAUGUAUUUUAGUUCUAGACACAUCCAUUUUGAUGACAAGUAAUUCUGGACAGAGGGAGUAUUAU